rnacentral:rRNA from 1 species
UAAGUCAGAUGUGAAAGCCUUCUGUUCAACGGAAGAAUUGCAUCUGAAACUACAAGUCUUGAGUGUAGGAGGGGAGAAUGGAACUUCUGGUGGAGCGGUGAAAUGCGUAGAUAUCAGAAGGAACGCCGGCGGCGAAAGCGAUUCUCUGGCCUAUUACUGACACUCAGUGUGCGAAAGCUAGGGGAGCAAACGGGAUUAGGUACCCCGGUAGUCCUAGCCGUAAACGAUGGGCACUAAGUAGAAGGGAUUACCGAUGUUCUCUCUGCCGUAGCUAACGCAUUAAGUGCCCCGCCUGGGGAGUACGGCCGCAAGGCUAAAACUCAAAAGAAUUGACAGGGGCUCGCACAAGCGGUGGAGCAUGUGGCUUAAUUCGAUGCAACGCGAAGAACCUUACCGGGGCUUGACAUGGUAGAAGUAGGAACCCGAAAGGGUAACGAACGGUAUCCAGUCCGUGACUAUCACAGGUGUUGCAUGGCUGUCGUCAGCUCGUGUCGUGAGACGUUGGGUUAAGUCCCCUAACGAGCGAAACCCUUGUUUUUAGUUACCAGCGGGUUAUGCCGGGUACUCUAGAAAGACUGCCGUCGUCAAGACGGAGGAAGGUGGGGAUGACGUCAAGUCAUCAUGGCCCUUAUGCCCCGGGCUGCACACGUGCUACAAUGGUCGGUACAAACGGAAGCGAAGCCGAGAGGUGAAGCGAAUCCAAGC